UGGUAACAAGGUUUCCGUAGGUGAACCUGCGGAAGGAUCAUUA
rnacentral:rRNA from 4 species